CUGCUGGACACUUAGUUACAUCACAUUUAAUAGCAAGCUGAAUGAGGCCGUUGUCAAUUUUAGAAAAGUAACCAUCGACUGAAUGAGCCUUUUGUCUUCGUUUUUUAACAUGUUAUCACAACAUAACUCCCCCACAGCCACCUGCAGGUCAUCUGUUUUUCAUAUGCUUGAAAACAAUGGAGCUAAAAUGAGUUUUAAUAUUGACCUGUUACUCGGAAAAUAAGCUGUCUUGGAAAAAAAACAAAAACAAACAAUAAAGACAGUGGUCAGCACUGUGGUACUGAGGAUUAGAAGCACAAACACCGUGUGGAAAAAAAGAAGCGAGAAAGCAUUUCAGCUCCGCUAAACAGUGGCAAACACUUGGCUCCGAUACAAAACUGAAUAACGACUGAAAAAAGCAAUAAGUGCCCGAGUGCUCCCGCUCUAUCUCUUUCUUACAGCCUUGGCAAACACAGCAUUAGUAAACAUGAUUAGCUUUACAUUGCUGUCACAAUACUCCAGUGAAUGAUGUAAUAACGCAUUUUAAUAAUGCCACCCGCACCGACUUCCAGAUAAAACCGCUCCGCAAGUUCAUUUAAACUGAAAAUAUGACAGCUGCUGUCAUUAUAUAUUCAUUGGGAGUCAAUUAAGUCAGUGAAUCAAUUAGCAGAAUGAACACUAUGUAUGUGGUAUCUUCUUAAUUACUUGUUAACGCUGUAUGUCCUCGUGCCAUGCGGGCCCUCUGUCAGCUUUUUUCUUCCUGCCUUUUUGCUUCAACUCCAGCGAUUAGAGGAGAAAGGAUUCGGUGCCAGAGAGCUAACCUAAGCUAUUGGCUCACUGUGUGCCAGUUUUGGGGGGGCUGGGGGGCUGUGACGGUGGGGGAAAAAAAAGAGGGAAAGAGCAAGCAGGGGACUCCUCUCUCUUCGCUCUGUGCUCCAUUUUUUUUUACAGUGACUCCUCUCGCUGAGUCUGAGAGCUGCAACGUGCCGCAGCCACGUGCUGGCGGCCACCUCACACCAAAGACUGGAACCUUGACCUCACAGCACCCCCCUCGGGCACCCCCUCCCAACCUCCCCACCCUCCUUCCACUGCUCCUUCUUCCCUCCUCUGUCCUCGAUCCACCCUCCCUAGACUGAUCUCUCCUUAUUUUUUCAUUCCAGAGUUUUUUUUUUUCCCUCGCCCUCCUGAACCGUCCCACUUAUUCCUGCCUCUUCCUCUCUCAUCCUCUCCUGUCUUCUUUUCCUCUUCUUCUAUCCUUCUUGUCCCGGUCUCAGUGUUAUCCCGCUUUAGAAGCUGGCUGCCUGUGACUGGAAUCCCUCAUUAUACUGCCGAAAGUGACAAACCAACAAAGACAGCCGGAUGUGUGAGUUGUUGCUUUUUAUUUGCCGUUUACUGUCUCCUGUAUUUAUUCCCUCAUGGAGAACACACCAAAACUAGAAAAAAAAAAAAAAAUCUAGGAUGCUGUUAGGACCUUCACUAAAAAAUAUUUUUUAUAGUAAGCAACUAAUUGAAAGCUGAUAUUUUUAAUUGAAUAAAGUGCAAAGAAAGACAGCAUAUCCCCACGUUUAAAAUGAGGAUGGAGGAUGCCCUGUCCAUAAUUUCCAAAAAGGAUGUCAAAAUUUCAAUACUUGAAAACUGCUGUGUAGUUUUCCACUGGCAUUCAACAGGUUUAACAGGCACCCAUCCGAUAUUUGAUAUCC